rnacentral:rRNA from 1 species
ACUCCUACGGGGCGCAGCAGUGGGGAAUAUUGCACAAUGGGGGAAACCCUGAUGCAGCGACGCCGCGUGAGUGAAGAAGUAUUUCGGUACGUAAAGCUCUAUCAGCAGGGAAGAAAAUGACGGUACCUGACUAAGAAGCCUCGGCUAACUACGUGCCAGCAGCCGCGGUAAUACGUAGGGGGCAAGCGUUAUCCGGAUUUAUUGGGUUUAAAGUGUGCGCAGGCGGCGAGUUAAGUCAG